UUACAAGUUGUGCAAUUGGAAUGACUACAAUUUAAAGAGUUUAAGGAGGAUCAAUUGGAGGGCAAGUCUGGUGCCAGCAGCCGCGGUAAUUCCAGCUCCAAUAGGAUAUAUCAAAGUUGUUGCAGUUAAAAAGCUCGUAGUUGAAGUUUUGGAGAGUAGUCUUUGUCUUUUCCGGCUUGGGGAGCAAUCCUCUUCGGGAAGGGCACUCUCUCCACAUUGUGGACCAUCCCUAUUUGUUUUGGCGAUUUUUUUCGCGAAAGCAGAAAGGGCCACUCCGUCACUGAGAGCAAAUUGGAGUGCUCAAAGCAGGCUUUACAGCUUUGAACAUAUUAGCUUGGAAUGACAAGAUACGACUCUGGUCGGUUUAUUUUGUUGGUUAUUUAGACUAGAGUAAUGAUUAACAGGAACAGUAGCGGGGGUACUCGUAUUUAAAGGUCAGAGGUGAAAUUCUUGGAUUCUUUCAAGACGAACGACUGCGAAAGCAUUUACCAAGGAUGUUUUCAUUAAUCAAGAACGAAAGCUUGGGGAUCGAAGAUGAUUAGAUACCAUCGUAGUCCAACGCAUAAACGAUGCCGACUCGGGAUUGGUAGGUGUUCUUUUUAAAACAUGAACCCUAUCAGCACCGUAUGAGAAAUCAAAGUCUUUGGGUUCCGGGGGGAGUAUAGUCGCAAGGAAGAAACUUAAAGGAAUUGACGGAAGGGCACACCAGAGGUGGAGCCUGCGGUUUAAUUUGACCCAACACGGGGAAACUUACCAGGUCCAGACAUGAUGAGGAUUGACAGUUUGAAAGCACUUUCUUGAUUUCAUGGGUGGUGGUGCAUGGCCGUUCUUAGUUGGUGGAGUGAUUUGUCUGGUUGAUUCCGAUAACGAACGAGACGGGGGGAGUUUACUAGUUUUGCAUAAUCUAAUUCGCGUUAGAUGGAACUUCUUUACUCGACAACUCGGUUUUACCGAGAGGAAGCGCCCCGCAAUAACAGGUCUGUGAUGCCCUUAGAUGUUCUGGGCUACACGCGCGCUACAAUGACGAGUUCAACGAGUUUGUUUUAUUCCUUGUCCGGAAGGAUGUGGGUAAUCUUUUCAAUGCUCGUCGUGAUGGGGCUAGAUUUUUGCAAUUAUUAAUCUUCAACGAGGAAUCUCUAGUAUGUGCAGUUCAUCAGACUGCGCAGAAUGCGUCCCUGCCCUUUGUACACACCGCCCGUCGCACCUACCGAUUGGACGAUCCGGCAAGAUGUUUGGAGUGUUGUGUUUGUGAUGUAAAAGUCGUGAACAUGACGCAAAGCUCUU
rnacentral:rRNA from 1 species